rnacentral:rRNA from 1 species
GAUGAACGCUAGCUACAGGCUUAACACAUGCAAGUCGAGGGGUAACGAGAGGAAAGCUUGCUUUCCUUGUCGACGACCGGCGCACGGGUGAGUAACGCGUAUCCAACCUGCCCCCAACUAAGGAAUAACCUUGCGAAAGUAAGACUAAUACCUUAUAAUUUCCUCCGAUGUCAUCUGACGAGGAAUAAAGAUUUAUCGGUUGUGGAUGGGGAUGCGUCUGAUUAGCUUGUUGGCGGGGUAACGGCCCACCAAGGCAACGAUCAGUAGGGGUUCUAAGAAGAAGACCCUCCAUAUUGGAACUGAGUCACGGACCAAACUCAUGAGGGAGGCAGCAGUGAGGAAUAUUGGUCAAUGGGCGAAAGCCUGAACCAGCCAAGUGGCGUGCAGAAAGCCGCCCCUAUGGGUUGUAAACUGGUUCUAUACAGAAGUAAAGUUAGGCACGUGUGGUUAUUUGUUGGUACUGUACGAAUAAGGACCGGCUAAUUCCGUGCCAGUCGCCGCAGUAA